rnacentral:rRNA from 1 species
UACAGAGGGUGCGAGCGUUAAUCGGAAUUACUGGGCGUAAAGCGUGCGCAGGCGGUUCUGAAAGUCAGCUGUGAAAGCCCCGGGCUUAACCUGGGAACUGCGGUUGAAACUACAGGACUAGAAUCUGGCAGAGGGGGGUGGAAUUCCACGUGUAGCAGUGAAAUGCGUAGAGAUGUGGAGGAACACCGAUGGCGAAGGCAGCCCCCUGGGCUGAGAUUGACGCUCAGGCACGAAAGCGUGGGGAGCAAACAGG